rnacentral:rRNA from 1 species
GGGUCAGUAGGUUGGUCGUGCCACCGGUACGUACUGGUCUCACUGAUUCCUCCUCCCUGAAGUACCGUAAUGCCAUUAAUUUGGUGUUGCGGGGAAACAGGACUGUUACUUUGAAAAAAUUAGAGUGUUUAAAGCAAGCUAACGCUUGAAUACAUUAGCAUGGAAUAAUGAAAUAGGACGAUCGAUCCUAUUUUGUUGGUUUCUAGGAUUGACGUA